rnacentral:rRNA from 1 species
GGUUAAGCGACUAAGCGUACACGGUGGAUGCCCUGGCAGUCAGAGGCGAUGAAGGACGUGCUAAUCUGCGAUAAGCGCCGGUAAGGUGAUAUGAACCGUUAUAACCGGCGAUUUCCGAAUGGGGAAACCCAGUGUGACUCGUCACACUAUCAUUAACUGAAUCCAUAGGUUAAUGAGGCGAACCGGGGGAACUGAAACAUCUAAGUACCCCGAGGAAAAGAAAUCAACCGAGAUUCCCCCAGUAGCGGCGAGCGAACGGGGAGGAGCCCAGAGCCUGAAUCAGCAUGUGUGUUAGUGGAAGCGUCUGGAAAGGCGCGCGAUACAGGGUGACAGCCCCGUACACAAAAGCGCACAUGCUGUGAGCUCGAUGAGUAGGGCGGGACACGUGGUAUCCUGUCUGAAUAUGGGGGGACCAUCCUCCAAGGCUAAAUACUCCUGACUGACCGAUAGUGAACCAGUACCGUGAGGGAAAGGCGAAAAGAACCCCGGCGAGGGGAGUGAAAAAGAACCUGAAACCGUGUACGUACAAGCAGUGGGAGCCCCACCACUAAGCCAGUGGUGAACUCCACAUACGCAUCCUUUGCUGAGGAUACGGUUAACGGAGCGCAAGCGACGUUCAACCGCAAAAGAAGCAGAGGGGGCUUAGUGGUGGGGUGACUGCGUACCUUUUGUAUAAUGGGUCAGCGACUUAUAUUCUGUAGCAAGGUUAACCGAAUAGGGGAGCCGGAGGGAAACCGAGUCUUAACCGGGCGUUAAGUUGCAGGGUAUAGACCCGAAACCCGGUGAUCUAGCCAUGGGCAGGUUGAAGGUUGGGUAACACUAACUGGAGGACCGAACCGACUAAUGUUGAAAAAUUAGCGGAUGACCUGUGGCUGGGGGUGAAAGGCCAAUCAAACCGGGAGAUAGCUGGUUCUCCCCGAAAGCUAUUUAGGUAGCGCCUCGUGAAUUCAUCUCCGGGGGUAGAGCACUGUUUCGGCUAGGGGGCCAUCCCGGCUUACCAACCCGAUGCAAACUGCGAAUACCGGAGAAUGUUAUCACGGGAGACACACGGCGGGUGCUAACGUCCGUCGUGAAGAGGGAAACAACCCAGACCGCCAGCUAAGGUCCCAAAGUCAUGGUUAAGUGGGAAACGAUGUGGGAAGGCCCAGACAGCCAGGAUGUUGGCUUAGAAGCAGCCAUCAUUUAAAGAAAGCGUAAUAGCUCACUGGUCGAGUCGGCCUGCGCGGAAGAUGUAACGGGGCUAAACCAUGCACCGAAGCUGCGGCAGCGACACUCAGGUGUUGUUGGGUAGGGGAGCGUUCUGUAAGCCUGUGAAGGUGUGUCGUGAGGCAUGCUGGAGGUAUCAGAAGUGCGAAUGCUGACAUAAGUAACGAUAAAGCGGGUGAAAAGCCCGCUCGCCGGAAGACCAAGGGUUCCUGUCCAACGUUAAUCGGGGCAGGGUGAGUCGACCCCUAAGGCGAGGCCGAAAGGCGUAGUCGAUGGGAAACGGGUUAAUAUUCCCGUACUUGGUGUUACUGCGAAGGGGGGACGGAGAAGGCUAUGUUGGCCGGGCGACGGUUGUCCCGGUUUAAGCGUGUAGGCUGGUUUUCCAGGCAAAUCCGGAAAAUCAAGGCUGAGGCGUGAUGACGAGGCACUACGGUGCUGAAGCAACAAAUGCCCUGCUUCCAGGAAAAGCCUCUAAGCAUCAGGUAACAUCAAAUCGUACCCCAAACCGACACAGGUGGUCAGGUAGAGAAUACCAAGGCGCUUGAGAGAACUCGGGUGAAGGAACUAGGCAAAAUGGUGCCGUAACUUCGGGAGAAGGCACGCUGACAUGUAGGUGAAGUGAUUUACUCAUGGAGCUGAAGUCAGUCGAAGAUACCAGCUGGCUGCAACUGUUUAUUAAAAACACAGCACUGUGCAAACACGAAAGUGGACGUAUACGGUGUGACGCCUGCCCGGUGCCGGAAGGUUAAUUGAUGGGGUCAGCGCAAGCGAAGCUCCUGAUCGAAGCCCCGGUAAACGGCGGCCGUAACUAUAACGGUCCUAAGGUAGCGAAAUUCCUUGUCGGGUAAGUUCCGACCUGCACGAAUGGCGUAAUGAUGGCCAGGCUGUCUCCACCCGAGACUCAGUGAAAUUGAACUCGCUGUGAAGAUGCAGUGUACCCGCGGCAAGACGGAAAGACCCCGUGAACCUUUACUAUAGCUUGACACUGAACAUUGAGCCUUGAUGUGUAGGAUAGGUGGGAGGCUUUGAAGUGUGGACGCCAGUCUGCAUGGAGCCGGCCUUGAAAUACCACCCUUUAAUGUUUGAUGUUCUAACGUGGACCCGUGAUCCGGGUUGCGGACAGUGUCUGGUGGGUAGUUUGACUGGGGCGGUCUCCUCCUAAAGAGUAACGGAGGAGCACGAAGGUUGGCUAAUCCUGGUCGGACAUCAGGAGGUUAGUGCAAUGGCAUAAGCCAGCUUGACUGCGAGCGUGACGGCGCGAGCAGGUGCGAAAGCAGGUCAUAGUGAUCCGGUGGUUCUGAAUGGAAGGGCCAUCGCUCAACGGAUAAAAGGUACUCCGGGGAUAACAGGCUGAUACCGCCCAAGAGUUCAUAUCGACGGCGGUGUUUGGCACCUCGAUGUCGGCUCAUCACAUCCUGGGGCUGAAGUAGGUCCCAAGGGUAUGGCUGUUCGCCAUUUAAAGUGGUACGCGAGCUGGGUUUAGAACGUCGUGAGACAGUUCGGUCCCUAUCUGCCGUGGGCGCUGGAGAACUGAGGGGGGCUGCUCCUAGUACGAGAGGACCGGAGUGGACGCAUCACUGGUGUUCGGGUUGUCAUGCCAAUGGCACUGCCCGGUAGCUAAAUGCGGAAGAGAUAAGUGCUGAAAGCAUCUAAGCACGAAACUUGCCCCGAGAUGAGUUCUCCCUGAGACUUAGAGUCUCCUGAAGGAACGUUGAAGACGACGACGUUGAUAGGCCGGGUGUGUAAGCGCAGCGAUGCGUUGAGCUAACCGGUACUAAUGAACCGUGAGGCUUAACCUU